rnacentral:rRNA from 1 species
CGGCGAGUAACGGCACAGCUCAAAUUUGAAAUCUGGCUCUUUUGAGUCCGAGUUGUAAUUUGCAGAGGGCGCUUCGGCUUUGGCAGCGGUCCAAGUUCCUUGGAACAGGACGUCACAGAGGGUGAGAAUCCCGUACGUGGUCGCUAGCUAUUGCCGUGUAAAGCCCCUUCGACGAGUCGAGUUGUUUGGGAAUGCAGCUCUAAAUGGGAGGUAAAUUUCUUCUAAAGCUAAAUAUUGGCCAGAGACCGAUAGCGCACAAGUAGAGUGAUCGAAAGAUGAAAAGCACUUUGGAAAGAGAGUCAAACAGCACGUGAAAUUGUUGAAAGGGAAGCGCUUGCAGCCAGACUUGCUUGCAGUUGCUCAUCCGGGCUUUUGCCCGGUGCACUCUUCUGCAGGCAGGCCAGCAUCAGUUUGGGCGGUGGGAUAAAGGUCUCUGACACGUUCCUUCCUUCGGGUUGGCCAUAUAGGGGAGACGUCAUACCACCAGCCUGGACUGAGGUCCCGCAUCUGCUAGGAUGCUGGCUAAUGGUCAAU